AAGUUGUUUGGUUACAGGUAAUGGAUAGGCACCCUAUUAGUUAUACUGGGCUACAACAAGUCAGCUCCUAGCACUGAGGCUAACUACAAAUUCCCCAUCUACAAUUAAAAAAUAUGAAGAAGGUAUAUCUUCAUUUAGGAUAUGCUAUAAAUAAGCUGCGUAUAAAUAAGAUACGCUAUGAAUAACCAUAAAAUACAAUGCAAUAAAAGGGUAAUAUGUAUGAGGUAAAUUAAAUGUCACAUUGGUAUUGGAUUUAAAGGGAUUAAAUAUUGAUAUGUAAAUAUGUAAUAUCUUUAUGUCCAAACUAUGUGGCAUAAAUAAAUACUAAAAUAAAAAUUUUCGCCAACAGUGUCAAAAACCCUGCCUGCUGUCCACAACAGUAUCCUCCUUGGAUAAGUGUGUUCAUUGUGUGAGACCUGUAACUUCCUUCAAGUGGCUUGGCUAUCGAUGCACAGAUGAGAUUGCGUUAAGUAAAGCUGAAGACAGUGGGAGCGAAUCUGAUAACGGCAACACAGAAGUUACAGCAUCAGAGUUUGGAACUGUGGAGCCUGUGGAUUUUGACUCUACAACCACAGAGCAAGACCAUGACAUUGGAGUCUUUGGAUCAGUGUCAUUUGUGUCGUCCACAGUAAAUGAGAGUGUACAUCCCUCUGAAGGGAAUUAUGCUGAUAAAGAACAUGGAUCCAGAAGAGUGGCAAAGAAAAUGUGGUCUAAGGCUGAGGUUGCUGCUGUAAUGCGACACUUCAAAGAUCAUA